rnacentral:tRNA from 1 species
AGUGGGGGAAUUUAAGGAUAAGUGUGGUGGCUUCUAACCACUCACAUGGGCAGUUCGAUUCUGUUCGUCCCUU